UAGCUUAUUGCAUCGAUCCAAGUAGUAGUACAGCAAGCACGUUGGUGAAUGGACGUUUCGAUAAUUUCAUUGUUGGUUAUCAAAAGGUUUUCCCUACAUCACCGAUGAAAUGGUCUCUGGAAAUUCCGCCUCAUCCUCGACAACGUGAUGGAUAUAAUUGCGGGGUUUUCGUAAUCCAUUAUAUUGAAGAAAUUCUCGCGGGAAGACUUGUACACAUCAGUCACUGCGAUCCAGCCGAAAAACGUGAAGAAAUUAAACGGGGUAUCUUGGUAAAGUCUGUCGAUGUAAGUGAACUUUGUCUAUACUGCGGAAGAGAUGAAUCGAUGACAAGAACUCAAACGUGGGUACAAUGUGUGAAGUGUGAAAGGUG